ACUACACUCGAGAAUAGCACAGUGACUAACACACUGAACAAACACCACCCCUCCCGCCAAACUCAAAACCCAAAACCCUAAUCCACCCUUCAACCUCACUCUCUCCCCAUUCAACCUCAAAUCAAACCCCCACUUUUCCAACCCACACCCCCACCAUGAGUUUCGCCGCAUACAAAAUGAUGCAACACCCAACCGGAAUCGACAACUGCGCUUCCGGUUACUUAACCCACUCCCGCUCCGAUUUCACUCCUCGUAUCCCUCCUCCUGAUUCCGAUGACCUUGACGCCUCCGAUUGGGCCCCGCAACGCGACGUUGCGACAUUUCCGAAUCUUGUCGUUACUGCCGCGAAUGUGCUUGAGGUUUAUGUCGUGAGAAUUCAACAUGAUGUGGCAAAGGGGAAGUUGAAUGCGGAUUCUAGGGUUCUUGAUGGGGUGAAUGGUGCCAAUCUUGAACUCGUUUGUCAUUACAGGUUGCAUGGCAAUGUUGAAAGUGUGGCUGUGUUAAGUGUUGGUGGUGGUGAUGCUUCUAGGAGGCGAGAUUCUGUCAUCUUAACUUUUAAAGAUGCAAAGAUUUCAGUUCUAGAGUAUGAUGAUUCUAUCCACGGACUUCGUACCAGUUCUUUGCAUUGUUUUGAGGGUCCAGAAUGGCUUCAUUUGAAAAGAGGCAGAGAACAAUUUGCAAGAGGUCCGGUGGCGAAGGUUGAUCCUCAAGGCAGGUGUGGUGGAGUUCUUGUCUAUGAUUUGCAAAUGAUAAUACUGAAGACUUCUCAGGCUGGUUCUGGUUUAGUUGGGGAGGAUGAUGUAUCGGGUUCUGGAGGUGCAGUUGCUGCUCGUGUUGACUCAUCUUAUCUGAUAAAUCUGCGUGACUUGGAUAUGAGGCAUGUCAAAGAUUUCACAUUUCUUCAUGGCUAUAUUGAACCUGUGAUGGUGAUAUUGCAUGAACAUGAGCUUACUUGGGCUGGGCGUGUUUCAUGGAAACAUCAUACUUGCACGAUAUCAGCACUUAGCAUCAGCACAACGUUGAAGCAGCAUCCACUUAUUUGGUCAGCUAUUAAUCUCCCCCAUGAUGCCUACAAGCUUCUUGCAGUGCCCUCGCCAAUUGGUGGUGUUCUUGUCAUUGGUGCGAACACUAUUCAUUAUCACAGUCAGUCUGCUUCAUGUGCAUUGUCCUUGAAUAGCUACGCUGUUCCCCUUGAUAAUAGUCAGGAGAUGCCAAGAUCGAGUUUCAAUGUGGAACUUGAUGCUGCCAAUGCAACUUGGUUAUUGAAUGACGUAGCCUUGCUGUCAACAAAAACUGGUGAACUGCUAUUGCUUACUCUUAUUUAUGAUGGAAGGGUUGUACAGAGACUUGAUCUUUCCAAGUCAAAAGCUUCAGUUCUAUCAUCUGGUGUUACGACAAUCGGAAAUUCUAUGUUUUUUCUCGCCAGUCGAUUAGGAGACAGUAUGCUGGUGCAAUUUUCUUGUGGAUCGGGUGUUUCAAUGUUAUCGUCCAAUCUAAAAGAAGAGGUUGGUGAUUAUGAUGUAGAUGCUUCUUCAGCAAAGAGAUUGCGGAGGUCACCUUCUGAUACUUUACAAGAUAUGGUCAGUGGUGAGGAGCUUUCCUUGUAUGGGUCUGCUCCAAAUAGAACAGAAUCAGCACAGAAAUCCUUCUCGUUUGCAGUGAGGGAUUCAUUGAUUAAUGUUGGUCCUUUGAAAGAUUUCUCGUACGGUUUAAGAAUAAAUGCUGAUGCAAAUGCUACGGGGAUAGCCAAACAGAGUAACUAUGAAUUGGUGUGUUGUUCUGGUCAUGGAAAAAACGGUUCUCUUUGUGUUCUUCGACAAUCAAUUUGCCCAGAAGUGAUUACUGAGGUUGAGCUUCCUGGUUGCAAAGGAAUAUGGACUGUUUAUCAUAAGAGCACACGUUCACUUAAUGCUGACUCUUCUAAGCUGGAUGAAGAUGAGUAUCAUGCAUACCUUAUUAUAAGUUUGGAGUCUCGUACUAUGGUACUAGAAACAGCUGAUGUUCUGAGUGAGGUUACUGAAAGUGUUGACUACUAUGUUCAAGGAAAAACGCUUGCUGCCGGGAAUUUAUUUGGGAGACGCCGUGUUAUUCAAGUCUAUGAACGUGGUGCUCGAAUUCUGGAUGGCUCUUUUAUGACCCAAGAUGUAAGCUUUGGAGCUUCUAACUCUGAAUCUAAUUAUGGAUCUGAGAGUGCUUUGGCACUAUCCGUUUCAAUAGCUGAUCCAUACAUCUUGCUCAGAAUGAGUGAUGGAAGUGUUCGACUUUUGGUUGGAGAUCCUAGCACCUGCAACAUUUCUGUCACUUCUCCAACUUCAUUUGAGAGUUCAAAGGGACCAGUUUCAUCAUGUACACUCUACCAUGAUAAAGGACCCGAGCCAUGGCUAAGGAAAACAAGUACUGAUGCAUGGCUUUCUACUGGUGUCGGCGAGGCCAUUGAUGGUACUGAUGGUGCAGUUCAGGACCACGGGGAUGUUUAUUGUGUUGUAUGUUACGAAAAUGGCAACCUUGAAAUAUUUGAUGUGCCCAAUUUCAGUUGUGUUUUUUCUGUGGAAAACUUUCUGUCUGGAAAGAGCCAUCUUGUUGAUGUUCUCACAAAAGAGGUGCCAAAGGAUUCCCAAAAGGGGGAUAAAGUUUCUGACGGAGUGGUCAGCCAAGACAGGAAGGAUGCCCUGAAUAUGAAGGUUGUGGAGUUGGCCAUGCAGAGAUGGUCAGGGAAGCAUAGCCGACCAUUUCUUUUUGGGAUUUUGAGUGAUGGAACAACUCUUUGUUAUCAUGCAUACCUUUAUGAAAGUCCAGACGGUACUUCUAAGGUUGAGGAUUCUGUAUCAGCUGGCGGGCCUGGUGGCCUUACCAAUACUAGUGUUUCUCGGCUUAGAAAUUUGAGAUUUGUUCGUGUGCCCUUAGAUGUACAUGCCAGGGAGGAGACAUCAAAUGGAUCACCUUGUCAACAAAUAAAUAUUUUCAAGAAUAUUGGUAGCCAUGAAGGAUUCUUCCUAUUGGGGUCAAGACCGGCUUGGGUUAUGGUUUUGAGAGAACGGCUUCGUGUUCAUCCACAGCUAUGUGAUGGGUCUAUUGUUGCUUUUACUGUCCUUCACAACAUAAACUGCAAUCAUGGUCUCAUAUAUGUUACUUCACAGGGUGUUUUAAAGAUAUGCCAAUUGCCUUCUGGCUCAAACUAUGAUUGUUUCUGGCCUGUACAGAAAGUUCCUCUAAAAGCUACCCCACAUCAAGUAACCUACUUUGCAGAGAAGAAUUUGUAUCCGAUUAUUGUUUCAUUUCCUGUUCUUAAGCCACUAAAUCAAGUCAUUGCUUUAGUUGACCCAGAUGCCAACAAUCUGACUGAGAAUCAGAAUUUGAAUUCUGAUGACCAAAACCACUUUUAUUCCAUUGAAGAAUUUGAGGUUCGUAUUAUGGAGCCAGAAAAAUCUGGUGGCCCUUGGCAAACGAAGGCAACAAUACCCAUGCAAAGUUCAGAAAAUGCUCUCACUGUGAGGAUGGUUACACUGAUGAAUACAUCGUCAAAAGAAAACGAAACACUUUUAGCCAUUGGUACUGCUUACGUGCAAGGAGAGGAUGUCGCUGCAAGAGGGCGUAUACUCUUGUUCACUUUGGGGAAAAAUACUGAUAAUCCACAAACUCUGGUUUCAGAGGUGUACUCGAAAGAAUUAAAAGGUGCUAUAUCUGCCAUGGCCGCACUUCAGGGUCAUCUAUUAGUAGCAUCUGGUCCAAAAAUUAUCCUGCACAAGUGGACUGGCACUGAGUUGAAUGGUGUUGCAUUUUUUGAUGUGCCACCGUUGCAUGUUGUGAGCUUAAAUAUUGUAAAAAACUUCAUCCUAAUUGGCGACAUCCAUAAAAGCAUAUAUUUUCUUAGUUGGAAAGAGCAGGGUUCUCAGCUUAGCUUAUUAGCUAAGGAUUUUGGUUCUCUUGAUUGUUUUGCAACAGAAUUUUUGAUUGAUGGAAGUACUCUGAGUCUCAUGGUUUCAGAUGAUCAAAAAAAUAUCCAGAUUUUUUACUAUGCACCGAAGAUGUUAGAGAGUUGGAAAGGACAGAAGCUUCUUUCAAGAGCUGAAUUUCAUGUCGGGGCACACGUGACUAAAUUCUUAAGGCUUCAGAUGUUAUCCACUUCUGAUCGAACUGGUUCAGCUCCAGGCUCAGAUAAAACCAAUCGUUUUGCCUUGUUAUUUAGUACAUUGGAUGGUAGUAUUGGCUGCAUUGCUCCUCUUGAUGAGAUCACAUUCCGUAGACUGCAGUCUUUGCAGAAAAAGCUCAUUGAUGCUGUAUCCCACGUUGCUGGUCUAAAUCCAAGAGCUUUCAGACUAUUCCAUUCUAAUGGAAAGGCCCAUCGUCCAGGCCCUGACAGUAUAGUUGACUGCGAGCUGCUAUGCCAUUAUGAAAUGCUUCCAUUGGAGGAACAGCUUGAAAUUGCUCACCAGGUUGGAACAACUCGAUCACAAAUUCUCUCAAAUCUAAAUGAUCUAUCUCUUGGAACAAGCUUCUUGUAAGAACGGUCAUCGUUUGUAAAUCGAGAAACAAGGCUGCCCAUGUCUUGCCAAGUAUUUGGCGGAGUUAUUCUCUUCAAUAAAGUUGCAUUUAUCUUUAAUUGCUUCAACAUGGUCAAAAGCUUGGGCAAAGUCAUCUGGCAGUGGAUACAGGCAGCCUUUGGACAGUGAUGUCCAAAAUUGAUUCCGAUGAUAGGUUUCAUAUUCUGUAUAUCAAGGAUUAAAUUGUACUUAUCCUCCAUCGUAGAGCAAUUAAUGGAAAGGCCAAAGUGGGAUGUAAUGUAAUGUAACAAUCAUAUUUUCUAGGCUUGGGUCAGAAGGAUGAGUGUGCCAAAUUCCCAAGUGGGAUGUGAUGUAAUGUAACAUGAAUUUUGUUAAUUUGUUCACCUAGAAAAGCAAGUUAGAAAACUGAACCAUUAGAAUGUAGGUUCUUUUCUGUAUGUCAGCAUUUAGAAUUCUUUGUUGUAACAUUAUGUAAUUAGUCUUUAUUCUCCGCAUCAAAAUAUGAAGGUUUAGUUACAAAUGAAUGACAUUGUAAUUUAAUUGCCAUAUAUUAUUUGUUUGUCCCUGUAGAAUAAAACUGUCUGAAACUGGGCUUUUUUGCUGCUGCAAUGCGCCCAAUUUUUUUGA